ensembl:lncRNA
GGGAAAGUUUCUUCAGCUUUCCAAAAAAUUCUCUUUCUGGGCAGACUCCAAGCUUGGAAAAUGUCAGCCUGAGAAGUGAAACAUAAGGAAAAUUACAAGCAAUGGAAUACAAGGAGAUGAAAUAAAUCGUUUAUCACUGAUAGUAGACUACCAGCUAUAUUACACAUUUUAAAUGGAGUUCUCUUUUAACAAAAAUAAUUAUAAAAAACACUUUCCAAUUAAUUGAAAGAACUUAUUGCUCCAGAAUAUCAGUGAAAACCCUGUCUUGAGAAAUGUCCUUUAGUUAAAUACACACCAGCCCUAGUCCCUAUGUCUGUAUAACUACAAGCAUAUUUUGGUUUUAGAAGAAAUUUUUAACAUUCAUAUUUUCACCACUGCUUACCUAGUAGAUUCUUGAUGGAGCGAGAGGGAGCUUGAAAUUAUUCUGGCCCCAUCUUGCAUCCUGUGCUGUCAUGACAGAAGCUGAUGGCACCUGGGUUCUCCUUGAAACUUCUACAGGUUCCAUGUGCUUCUGUUUCUCUGGCUGACCCUUAAAUAGUGGCCUCUGAGCUUCUGAUAUGAGAGUGAGAAAAAUACACAAGAGUUAGAAAGCCCAGUGUCUCUCUAGGUGCCAAGAUUUUCCUGUUCUCUGAGGUUUUGUUCCAGAAUAAUUUCUCAUGUUUCUUUAUGUUCCAGUAUGAUUUUCUUCUUCCAGGAAGGCAUUACUUGAUUUUGGGAUUUUUACCUUCAGUGCAAGCAUAUGAUUUCAAAUACCUUCCUCAGACUCCCACUGUAGUUCCUCAGAAAUGUAAUGGGCAGCAUUUGCACCUAUAAGCCCCAACCAAGAUCAGAGCCUCAUUUGGAUCCCGUGAUCAAAGCCUCUUUUGUACUACGGACUCCACAUAUGCACAGAGGGUAGCUGAGGUUUUUAGUCUAAACACUGAAACCAGGCAAGUGUCAGUGAAGGGAUGGGUGCUGGCCCUUAGCACUGACCAGCCUGUUGAGCAGUGCUGAGGAAAAUGUUGUAGAAGUCAGUCAGGCCCAGAUCCCCUGCAGUCCCUUCACCAUUCUUCCUCUCCUCAGUGCUGUAGCACUUCCAAAAUGAGAGGCAUGAUAUGACUGUGAUUUCCUUGAUGUCUUUGGGCUAGUAAAUUACCUACCCAAGACCUUAGAAAGGGAUGUAAUGACUGUACCCAGGGCUGUCAUCUUUUUGCUCAUAAAGAUGGAAUGACAAAGCAACUUGGUAAGCAGGCUUAACAGCAAGGAUAACCUAAUGUGAGCCAUAAUUCUGUGAUAUUUUGUGCUCCAGCAAGUUCCUGUUGGGAGCAGUGGGAGCCAAAGUCCAUAAUCUCCUUUGUAAGAGCUUGGCAAACAUGGGAGGUGACUACAGCAGUAAUGGCACAAAAGAUGCUUUAAAGCCCAGCCCUGGUUAUGGAAGGAAGCUGGGAGUCAAGGCUCAUGCCCACAGCAGAGGUGUAAGGAAGAGGGGAAAAAGGAAGGGGUAGUGUCAGUGUGGCUGAGGUUUAUUAAUCCAAAACUAAAAGUAAACAUAAAUAACCUGUAAAGAGUGUGGAAGUAGAAGGAACAUUUUAAUUCAGCUUUGCAGAUUGUGGAUAAGUGAUUCUGGGAGGCCAGGGUAAUUUUUUUAACUACUCUGGUGAUGGUGAUAUUGCUGUGUAAUCUGAAAGUAAAGAGAAAACUAUAUUUUGUUGGAAUACUAAUGUGUUAAUAAUUAUAAAAUAUGCUUCUCCAAACUGCUGUCCAAUGGAAGCAGCCUCCAUAAGCAGUGUGGUGUUCAUGCUGUCAGGCACUCAUUAUUUCUGUUCAAUGGUGGCAGGAAGGCACCAGCUUAACUAUAAAUACUGACAGCAAGCUGAAAAGUCUUCUGUUGGAAGGGAAAAAAGUAAGGACAGACAGUUAAAAACCCACCUUUACAGUUUCUUGAUGGUGAAAACAGAGGUGAUGACACUUAUGACACCCAGAAAAUGCUAAGGAAACAUGAAAUGGAACAACCAGUUUCAAUAGUUGAGGUGGGAACAAAAUCUUUCCACCUGAAGCUAUAUUAAAAUAUUUUCUUUCAGAUCUUCUUCCUUAGAGAAAGGAGACUUUGUGUGUGUGUGUCUGUGUGUGGUUGGGGAUGGUGGAAAAUAAAAAUUUUCAGUAUUUCA